AUUGUUGCUGAAAAUUACUGAAAUUGUAAGGCUGCAAGGGGGAAAGUACAUGUAUGUUAAUAUCCACUAAUUUCAGCAGAAAAGAUACAGACUUGUGUUCAGUGUUUUCAGUGUUCAUAUUCAUCUACCCUGGCUCUGAAAGUGUGAAUCAGCAUGCUAGACUUCUAUUCAUGUGUCAGUCACAUAACUGGCAUCUUUUAAAUCAUGAAUCUCCAUACAUUACAACACCUACUCUCUGGAACUAUGAUGUAGGCAGGUGCCUUUGCUGUACUGUUCUCAACACAAGCUCAAAUCUUUUUUGUUUAAGGCAAGCCUACUCAGACAGAAAGUGUGGAUUCAGUUCAGAUGCAAACAGAAAGGAAUUUCUGCCCCAUUCCUACAGGAGGUGCUGGUCUGGCUUGAAUGUGAAGAACAGGCAACCUGCCAUUCUGCCCUUUCCCCUCCCUCUCCAACCAUUCAGAAGAAAGGGAAACUGGCCGUGCUGCUGCUUGGUCAGAGAGGGGGAUGUUUUUCCGGGAUAUUUUGUAUUUGGUGUGUGUGUGUGUAUUUUGGCUAGCUUUGCUGUGUGUGUGUUUGGAGACUGCUUUGUGUUUGUUUUGAGGGUGCAAUAUUUUGCCUGCUUUUGGGGUUGUUUGGGAAUGGGGCUGUUUUCCCUUCUUUUUUCUGUUGUGGGGGUGGCUGACCUGUUUUUUGUUGUGGUUUGGGAGGAUUGACUGAAGGGCUGCCUGCUUUUUUAUGUGUGUAUUUUUGCCUUUUUAUUUUACGAGUGUUGCCUGCUGUUUGCCUGUUUUGUUUGUUUUCAGGGGAUGCCUAUUGGGGGGUUCUGAGCAUUGCCAGUUUUAAUUCUGUGAAAUGGGCAUUUUGUGGUGCCCUUAUCCAAAUGAGCCCUUGAGCUGAAAAAAGUUGGGAACUUAUCUAAAUUUAGCAUCAAUUGUUUAAGUGUUGGACUAAGAUAAUGUCACACCCUGUGCAAAAUAUAUCACUAUUUUGGACUUUUUUGGAUCAUUCAGUUUAUCAAAUUAUGGAAAAGGGAAAGAAAACAACCAAUAAAGUACCAUCCAAAUUAGCUUUGUGAUAUACCAGUUCCAAGUGUGUUACUCUUCAAUAGCAAUCUGCUGUUAAAAAGAGCAACUCUUUUUAUUAUGCUUUUUAAAAUAUCUCCUGUUGAAAAUAUAUUUACAGCAAGAAAGUGGACUGAACUUCAGUACAUUUUGCAUUUUUUUGCCCAGACUUUACCAAGUCUUGAUUCAAAAACUUCAAAAUAAUGGCCAUACUCUUAUUUUCCUUUUAUUUUCCAAAAGAAGACCUUGCUUUCCAGAAACUAGGCAUUAUAAACUUAGAGGCCUGUAUUUGAUUUUCACAUUAUGUGAAUAUACGUUGGGAUUUUUUAAUUUAUUUUUUGAGAGACAGAGAGAGAGAAUGAGAGAGAGAGAUUUUAGUUUGGACUUCUGCUGUGAGGCAUGUAUUUACAUCAGGUAUCUUGUCCUUAGACAAGAAGUUGCAGCAGUAAGCGAAAUUAUUCAUUUGAGUUAAGUAAAACCUCACCACAUAUUUCAAGAUGUUCUAAAAACAAAUACAAACUUAAUUUGGGAGUGGGGACAGUCCUAUAUUGCUAUUCUGUAAGUCAAAUCCACAUGGAGACCCCAUUUUAUAGCCACAUUGUGCUACAAGUACAAGCCUCAGGGUCAUGUGAUGCCUCCUCCCAUCUCCUCCUCUGGCCCAGCCUCCAUUUUCAGCUAAUUGUUCAGCUAGUUGUUUGUCAUUUCAUUUAAAUGAUUUGUGAUCCCAGAAUGUUUGAAUAAACCAUAGUUAAAACUAACUGUAUUCCUGGUUCAGAUGAAAUGAUAAUUCUAAUUAGUUGAAAAUGGUAGUAGAUUGUCAUGGCCCCAGACCAGAAAUCUGCAGAGUCCGAGUCCUCCAACAGCAGCUUUGAGGAGAAGAUGGAUCCACUCCUGUCCAUGUGGAGCCACCAGUCCUAGAGCUCACAACUCUUCUGUAGAGGAGUCUCCUUACCUAACUUCAGAAUAACUACAACUUCAACAAGUAUCAUAGAAUCAUAGAGUUGGAAGGGGCCUUGUAGACCAUCGAGUCCAACCCCCUGCUCACAGCAGGAAAUCCACAGCUAGAGCAUCUCCCGCAGAUAGCUGUCCAGCCUCUGCUUGAAGACAUCCAGUGAAGGGGAUCCCACCACCUCCCUAGGCAGUCAGUUCCAUUGCCGAACCGCCCUUACUGUCAAGAAGUUCCUUCUAAUAUCCAAUCUGAAUCUACGCUCCUGCAACUUAAAACCAUUAGACCUAGUCCUGACCUAGUCAUAUUCUCCAAGUGCUAAUAAUUAUGUUUGCAUACACUGUGUGUAUUGCUACUUUUCACUAUUGAGUUGCCAUUAAAAAAAAGAUACACUUAGAUUAUCAUGACUCAGAGCAAGACAAUACUGUUUGAGUCUGA